rnacentral:rRNA from 1 species
UACGAGGGGCCCAAACGUUAUUCGGAAUUACUGGGCUUAAAGAGUUCGUAGGCGGCCUUGCAAGUGGGGGGUGAAAGCCCUCGGCUCAACCGAGGAAUUGCGCUCUAAACUGCAGUGCUUGAGGAACCUAGAGGUGAGCAGAACAGAUGGUGGAGCGGUGAAAUGCGUUGAUAUCAUCUGGAACACCAGUGGCGAAGGCGGCUCACUGGCCCGAUACUGACGCUGAGGCACGAAAGCGUGGGGAGCAAACAGG